UACGUAGGGUGCAAGCGUUGUCCGGAAUUAUUGGGCGUAAAGAGCUCGUAGGCGGUUUGUCGCGUCUGCUGUGAAAACCCGAGGCUCAACCUCGGGCCUGCAGUGGGUACGGGCAGACUAGAGUGCGGUAGGGGAGAUUGGAAUUCCUGGUGUAGCGGUGGAAUGCGCAGAUAUCAGGAGGAACACCUGCGGUGUAGACGGCUUACUGGACGGUAACUGACGCUGAGGCACGAAAGCGUGGGUAGCAAACAGG
rnacentral:rRNA from 1 species